rnacentral:rRNA from 1 species
GAUGAACGCUGGCGGCGUGCUUAACACAUGCAAGUCGAACGGGAAACCUUUUAUUGAAGCUUCGGCAGAUUUAGAUUGUUUCUAGUGGCGGACGGGUGAGUAACGCGUGGGUAACCUGCCUUAUACAGGGGGAUAACAGUCAGAAAUGAUUGCUAAUACCGCAUAAGCGCACAGAGCUGCAUGGCUCGGUGUGAAAAACUCCGGUGGUAUAAGAUGGACCCGCGUUGGAUUAGCUAGUUGGUGAGGUAACGGCCCACCAAGGCGACGAUCCAUAGCCGGCCUGAGAGGGUGAACGGCCACAUUGGGACUGAGACACGGCCCAGACUCCUACGGGAGGCAGCAGUGGGGAAUAUUGCACAAUGGGGGAAACCCUGAUGCAGCGACGCCGCGUGAAGGAAGAAGUAUCUCGGUAUGUAAACUUCUAUCAGCAGGGAAGAAAAUGACGGUACCUGACUAAGAAGCCCCGGCUAACU